UCCUACGGGGGGCAGCAGUAGGGAAUUUUCGUCAAUGGGCGCAAGCCUGAACGAGCAAUGCCGCGUGAACGAGGAAGGUCUUCGGAUCGUAAAGUUCUGUUGAAGGGGAAAAAGAGCGGAGAGAGGAAAUGGUCUCCGAUUGAUAUUACCCUUCGAGGAAGUCACGGCUAACUACGUGCCAGCAGCCGCGGUAAUACGUAGGUGGCGAGCGUUAUCCGGAAUGAUUGGGCGUAAAGGGUGCGUAGGCGGCCUGCUAAGUCUGGCGUGAAAGGUACCGGCUCAACCGGUACAGGCUCUGGAAACUG
rnacentral:rRNA from 1 species